GGGUGCGUAGGCGGUUCUAUAAGUCAGUGGUGAAAUACGGCAGCUUAACUGUCGAGGUGCCAUUGAUACUGUAGAACUUGAGUAUAGACGAGGUAGGCGGAAUUGACGGUGUAGCGGUGAAAUGCUUAGAUAUCGUCAAGAACACCGAUAGCGAAGGCAGCUUACUAGACUAAAACUGACGCUGAGGCACGAAAGUGUGGGGAUCAAACAGGAUUAGAUACCCUGGUAGUCCACACUGUAAACGAUGAUUACUCGAUGUUGGCGAUACACAGCCAGCGUCUUAGCAAAAGCGAUAAGUAAUCCACCUGGGGAGUACGCCGGCAACGGUGAAACUCAAAGGAAUUGA
rnacentral:rRNA from 1 species